GAAAUACUCAACCAAGAACCUGCUACUUAACGAAGAAGACAUCAUUUCCAUCGUAUGCACUAGCAAAGCGAACGCUCUGUUUACGAGGAAACAAGCGCAUAUCAACAAAAUGCAAGUUUUACAUGCAUUAUUACUCACGGUCGUCGUUCUUAGCAUCUUUAUCCAUGACGUCACAGCGACUUCAGAUCCAGAUAUAUCAAGCACUGACGACGAACACUCUUCAGCGUACCUAAGAUCGUUAGCAGCUAGGCGAUUCAAGGAAAUUAAACGGGGCAAUAAUCUUUGUGGCUUUUCGUACUAUGGAUGCCCGAGAGGUAGAAAUGGAAAAAGGUCAUGGAUGUCUCAAACCCGAAACAUGCGUUCCUUCGCGGAGAGGCGUUGAUAGCCAAGAAAGGCAAACAACUGGGAUCAUCUGAAGAAUGAUCGCUGACCUUUAACACUUACGUAUAUGUGAAUAAAACUCUCUAUAUUUAAUAUUCUUAAGUUAAGGCUUGCAGAUAUUAAUUUAUUAUUUUUAAAAGUAUUAAAACAUUUAGAA